GAAGAACAGAUCACUGUACGUUGUUCUCAGGCAUCCAAGCUCAGAGACUGACCAGCUGCUGGGAAUGGUGCUCCCACAAACCCAUCUACCAAAAACAAGCAGUGGAUAAACUCCUCAUCUACAUAUGAAGUCUUCAACUCAGCUGUGGUGUAACCUUGGACCCAGUGUUUUCCUCUCACAUCAGGUCCUGUCUGACCUCCUAUCUGAAGAGACUCACAGACCCGAGUGGAAUUGCGGGACGGAUCCACUCAAAAGACCUUAUUAGGAAAACUUUGCUGAAGACAGCACUGAAGCCUUAAAUGAAAAGUUACAACAGCCAAGACCCUGGAAAGUUUUCAAGCACAACUGUAUGGUCAGCCUAGGGGGACAGCGCUUAUGGACUGUUCUAGUGGAGUCUGGAUGAUGCAAGGAGCACCAAUGGAUACACAGACAGUGGAGCUUGCAGAAGGAAGAAACAAGACUCAUGAGGAACAGACAGUAGCCAAUCACGCUAUUUUGGCCAAGAAUCUGGCUUUAUUUGCCCCACUGUCCGGAGAACUGAGAGAAGCUAAACUUACAGAUAACGGUCUAACUUUUUGGCGGAACUUUCAAGGCAGCAUGGUGGUAUCCUGGCUGCUGCUGAGCAGCUGUAGCUGACAGAUUAGCAGAACUUGUAGAGAGGGUUUCCUCAGGGUUAGCGCAUCUGAUACGCGUAAGGUCCCACAGGGGUCUGGCUACAGCUUAAGCUGGCAUCAAAACUUGACAAUGUCAUCAUGCCAUCCUCCAUAUGGUACCAGUGUUGAUGGUACCACUCCAUGGGCAAAAGCCUAAAAAAAAAAAAAAAAAAAAAUCCCAAGACUGAGGAAGACAUGGAGAGCCACUAUAGGGCAGGGUCUGAUGAGUCCCUACAGAGAGGCCAUAGUGAAGCCUUAGUUUUCAUGAAGACCCAAGGAUACAGAAGAUGUCAGGACUGUGGAGCAUUGGUCCAGGAGAUGUAGCCUCUGAGUGAGCAAACAUGACUGGAGUGAGGUGUCAAGCCAAGGACACAGAGCUAUAACAUCCGUGGAGUAGGAGGUCUGUGAGAAGUGGAUUUCACCACAGAUGAGGAAUUAGCCCUGUUGGCUGAACACUCCAUUUGCAGUGACUGUGAGGUUGCUUUUGGUCCUGAUGUUUCAUCCCUGCAAUGGUGAUUCCAACAGCAGAGCUAUCGGGGCUUUUCAUAAGUUAUGGAGAGACAGCUUGAAGCAAUGAUGGACAAAGAUGCAUCCUGCUUGCUUCAACAUGGAGGCUCAUGAAGGACACCAUGCUGAGUGAAAUAAGCUCCACACAGAAAGACAAAUCCUGCAUGUGUAAUUAAAAAAAAAAAAAACCCUCAAGAAUACAGACAGUGAGAAUUCAACAGCAGUUACCACAGGCUGGGUUAGGGGAUGGAAACAGAAAGCAGAUGGAAAGACAUAAAAUGAACAAGUAUGGGUAUCUAAUGUACCGUGUGAGGGCUAAAGCUAAUAAUACCAACUGGGUGUGGUGGUACAUGCCUCUAACCCCGGUGCUGGGGAAGCUGAGACAGGAGGAUUGCUGCAAGGCCAGCCUGGACCUGUCUCAGAAAAACCUACAUGAAAACAAUUAUUUAAAGUAGAUCAAAAUGUAUGAGGCCCUCUUGUUAGAGAGUGUAUACAGUUGCUCCAAUCACAGAUAAAGGAACUGUGAGAUGACAGGUUCAUUCAUUUGUUUGACUACAGAGACCACUUUCUUGCUUAUGUAUUGCAGAACCUGUUGUAAACCUCACAGAGACACUCUGAAAUCACUCAGGAGCACACCAAUCCUGUGCCUUAUGCCUGCAUGGCUUUGGAUGCUCUUGAUUUCUAACUUCUCUCUUCAUUCUAGAAGAAGUUGACCUACUCUUAAUUGCCCAAGUGAUUUCCAUCCCCACAUAAUCUAGGAAGCUAACCACAGGCUAGCUUUAUCGUUGCAACACACACACACACACACACACACACAAAAGCUUACUUAGAAUCCUAGCUGGUAACGACACAGAGAUAAGGUAUUCAAUUGGUCUUCUGCAUCAUUUUUCCACCUUGGUAUUAACCUGUUAAGCUCCAUAGUUGGGGGGAAGGGGCAGUCCCAUUUACCAUCAGACAUCCAGCAGCAUCUCUAAACCACUCCUCCUCUUGCUCCUCUUGUGUGUCAAUCAAAAAUGUCUCUUGGGGGAGUGGAGAGAUAGCUCCAUUAUUAUGAGUGCUUAUCACUCUUGUGGACAACUUGAGUUUGGUUCUCAAAACACACACACACACACACAAGAGGCAACUCACAACCACCUAUAACCCCAGUUCCAAGGAAUCUGAGGUACUCAGUCCUCCAUGGGCAUCUGUACAAACUUGGUGCACAAAAAUUCACAUAGGCAAGCACAAAUACACAUAAAAAUAAGUAAUAAAUAAUCCCUUUUGAAAAAUUUUCCUGGGCCAACAGGCUAGCUCACUAUGUAAAGACACUUGCCUCUAAGCUUGAAGUCCUAUGUUUGACCCAAGGCCCACAUGGUGGAAGAACAGGCUCCUGAAAGUUGUCCUCUGACCUCCAAACUCCUGCCAAGGCACUCAUGCCUACAUACAAACACACGCUGUCUCAAUGAAUAAGUUGUAAUAAGUUUUAAAUGUCCCUAGAUGUUGCUACAUGUCCCUGGGGGAACAAAAGCACCCUGGCACUGUUGGAAUAGUUAUCAUACAUAUUAAUCUUUCAACACCGCCUCAUAUGAAAGUCAAGAAGGGUGAUCAGACUUACUUGUCAGGUUACAAUUAAAGAACUAAAACUAA